CCUACGGGAGGCAGCAGUGAGGAAUAUUGGUCAAUGGACGAGAGUCUGAACCAGCCAAGCAGCGUGAAGGAUGACUGCCCUAUGGGUUGUAAACUUCUUUUAUAUGGGAAUAAAAUGCUCCACGUGUGGGAUUUUGUAUGUACCAUAUGAAUAAGGAUCGGCUAACUCCGUGCCAGCAGCCGCGGUAAUACGGAGGAUCCGAGCGUUAUCCGGAUUUAUUGGGUUUAAAGGGAGCGUAGGUGGAUUGUUAAGUCAGUUGUGAAAGUUUGGGGCUCAACCGUAAAAUUGCAGUUGAAACUGGCAGUCUUGAGUACAGUAGAGGUAGGCGGAAUUCGUGGUGUAGCGGUGAAAUGCUUAGAGAUCACGAAGAACUCCGAUUGCGAAGGCAGCUCACUGGACUGCAACUGACACUGAGGCUCGAAAGUGUGGGGAUCAAACAGGAUUAGAUACCCUUGUAGUC
rnacentral:rRNA from 1 species